UACGGGGGAUGCAAGUGUUAUCCGGAAUCACUGGGCGUAAAGCGUCUGUAGGUGGUCAAAUAAGUCAACUGUUAAAUCUUGAGGCUCAACCUCAAAAUCGCAGUCGAAACUAUUAGACUAGAGUAUAGUAGGGGUAAAGGGAAUUUCCAGUGGAGCGGUGAAAUGCGUAGAUAUUGGAAAGAACACCGAUGGCGAAGGCACUUUACUGGGCUAUUACUAACACUCAGAGACGAAAGCUAGGGUAGCAAAUGGG
rnacentral:rRNA from 1 species